UACGUAGGGUGCGAGCGUUAAUCGGAAUUACUGGGCGUAAAGCGUGCGCAGGCGGUUGUGUAAGACAGGUGUGAAAUCCCCGGGCUACUACGACGUAGCGCUUGUGACUGCACGGCUAGAGUACGGCAGAGGGGGGUGGAAUUCCACGUGUAGCAGUGAAAUGCGUAGAUAUGUGGAGGAACACCGAUGGCGAAGGCAGCCCCCUGGGCCGAUACUGACGCUCAUGC
rnacentral:rRNA from 1 species